rnacentral:lncRNA from 1 species
AGUCUCCCAAACAAAGUUUGGAGACUUAUUGUUUUUGCUCAGUUCUUAUUAUUUUUAUUAUUCUUCUUCCUCUUCCUCUUCCUCUUCCGCUUCCGCCACUUUAAAAAUGAACUUGUCCGCAGCGUUUCUCAAAAACCGCUUGUCAGAUUGACUUAGAAUUUCAUAAAAUGGUAGACUAAUAUGUCUAGGUGAGCCAUCAAUCUUUCGUUUGUGCAUUGGGGUCUGUUAAGGGGUAUUUUGGGGGGUAGAAAGGAGGAAGGGGUUUACUAUAGAACCCUAUGGGAUUUUAUUUUCUAAAAUUUUCAAAUGAAUAUAACUUAAAAACUGUAAGUGAUAGAUACAUGCAGUCUUCAGAAUUGAUUAUAGGACAAUAAAACAAAUCACAUGAAAUAUAGGGGGAGUCCCUGGGAGUUCAUCCCCACUCCCUUCAAUUUGAGAAUAUGCUUAUAUUUUGUAAACGGUCCAUAUCCCUACCCCUAAACCAUAUAUAUUCUUGAAUGGGAUGAUAAAACAAAUCAAAUGAAAUUAAUGGGAGGUCCCAGGGGGUCAUCCCCACCCCAGUCAAUUUGAGAAUGUGCUAUUAUCUUGUAAACGGUCCAGAUCCCCACCCCUAAACUACAUAUAUUCUUGUAGGGGACAAUAAAACAAAUGAAAUUAAAUUAAAGGGAAGUCCCUAGGGGAUCAUCCCCACCCCUCUUGUUUGAAAACUUGUAAACGGUCAACAUCCCCACCCCUAAACCAUAUAUAUUCUUGUAGGGGACAAUAAAACAAAUGAAAUGAAAUUAAAGGGAAGUUUUUAGGGGGUCAUCCCACCCCCUCUUAUUUGAAAACUUGUAAACGGUCAACAUCCCCACCCCUAAACCAUAUAUAUUGUUGUAGGGGACAAUAAAAAAAAUGAAAUGAAAUAAAAGGGAAUUCCGUAGGGGGUCACCCCACCCCCUCUUGUUUGAAAACUUGUAAACGGUCAACAUCCCCAACCCUAAACCAUGUAUAUUCUUGUAGGGGACAAUAAAACAAAUGAAAUGAAAUAAGAGGGAAGUCCCUAGGGGGUCAUCCCACCCCCUCUUGUUUGAAAAUUUGUAAACGGUGAACAUCCCCACCCCUAAACCAUAUAUAUUCUUGUAUGGGACAAUAAAGCUAAUCAAAUGAAAUUAAAGGGAAGUUCCUGGGGGUUGCCCCACCCCGUUCAAUUUGAGAAUGUGCUAUUAUCUUGUAAACGGUCCAGAUCCCCACCCUUAAACCAUAUACAUUCUUGUAGGGGACAAUAAAACAAAUGAAAUGAAAUGUAGGUGAAUUCCCUGGGGGUCAUCACCACCCCCUCCUGUUUGAAUACUUGUAAAUGGUGGAGAUCCCUACUCGUAAGCCAUAUAUAUUCUUGUAUGGGACAAAAAAAUCAAAUCAAAUGAACAUGGGACCAUAUGAAUGGCGAGUUAUGGGAGCUUUGUUUGGGAGACUUCGUAACAGCAUCCUGUUACAAUUACUUCUUGUUUAAUUU